rnacentral:tRNA from 1 species
CGGGAUGUGGCGCAGUUUGGUAGCGCGCCUGCCUUGGGAGCAGGAGGCCGCAGGUUCGAAUCCUGUCAUCCCGACCA